rnacentral:rRNA from 1 species
UACGUAGGUGGCAAGCGUUGUCCGGAUUUACUGGGCGUAAAGGGCGUGCAGGCGGUUCGUUAAGUUCCGGGUGAAAGCUCCCGGCUCAACUGGGAGAGGUCCUUGGAUACUGGCGGACUCGAGGGGAGUAGAGGAGAGUGGAAUUCCCGGUGUAGUGGUGAUAUGCGUAGAUAUCGGGAGGAACACCGGUGGCGAAGGCGGCUCUCUGGGCUCUACCUGACGCUGAGACGCGAAAGCGUGGGGAG